rnacentral:rRNA from 1 species
UACGUAGGGGCGAGCGUAUCCGGAAUACUGGGCGUAAGCGCACGCAGCGGUUCGCCAAGUUUGGAGUGACAGUUGUCGGCUCAACCGACAAAGGACUUCAAAACUGGUGAACUUGAGGACGAGAGAGGAACAUGGACUCCAGGUGUAGUAGUGAAAUGCGUAGAUAUCUGGAAGAACACCAAUGGCGAAGGCAAUGUUCUG